UGUUGCUGAUGUCGAUGUGGCCAUCCAUGGUACUGUGAUUUCCGGUGUGUGCAGCUCCUCUGGCGGCAUAUCCAGUAGGGACGAGCACCCGCCGGGCGGUGGAUGGCAGGAGCCAGGGUCAUCCCCAGUGUACGGCAGUGCGCACACCGAUGACGCCCCCGUAGACAGGCCUGCCAGGGACGGCAGCAGCAGGCUGGCAAAUGCGAGGACGGUCGUCUGCAUCGCAAAGCUCCUCUGGCGACAUAUCCAGUAGGGACGAGCACCCGCCGGGCGGUGGAUGGCAGGAGCCAGGGUCAUCCCCAGUGUACGGCAGUGCGCACACCGAUGACGCCCCCGUAGACAGGCCUGCCAGGGACGGCAGCAGCAGGCUGGCAAAUGCGAGGACGGUCGUCUGCAUCGCAAAGCUCCUCUGGCGACAUAUCCAGUAGGGACGAGCACCCGCCGGGUGGUGGAUGGCAGUAGCCAGGGUCUUCCCCAGUGUACGGCAGUGCGCACACCGAUGACGCCCCCGUAGACAGGCCUGCCAGGGACGGCAGCAGCAGGCUGGCAAAUGCGAGGACGGUCGUCUGCAUCGCAAAGCUCCUCUGGCGACAUAUCCAGUAGGGACGAGCACCCGCCGGGCGGUGGAUGGCAGGAGCCAGGGUCAUCCCCAGUGUACGGCAGUGCGCACACCGAUGACGCCCCCGUAGACAGGCCUGCCAGGGACGGCAGCAGCAGGCUGGCAAAUGCGAGGACGGUCGUCUGCAUCGCAAAGGUAAGCGGAUUAGGUGGCUGCGCUGUGGUGCAGUCACCGAGCCCACGAAGCGGCGUCAGCAGAUGAAGCUC